UGGGCAACCUGCCCUGUACUGGGGAAUAAUCAUUGGAAACGAUGACUAAUACCGCAUGUGGUCCUCGGAAGGCAUCUUCUGAGGAAGAAAGGAUUUAUUCGGUACAGGAUGGGCCCGCAUCUGAUUAGCUAGCUGGUGAGAUAACAGCCCACCAAGGCGACGAUCAGUAGCCGACCUGAGAGGGUGAUCGGCCACAUUGGGACUGAGACACGGCCCAA
rnacentral:rRNA from 1 species